ensembl:lncRNA
GUAGAGUUUCACCACUGCAUUCAGUUUACAGUUUGUCCAUAAAAAACGCACAGAGAACAAUGUGUAUUACAAAUUUUAUAUUCACUUAGGUGGGACGUCUAACCCCACUGAGCAACAGAGGACAUCAAAUACAUUGACCACUUCCAAACCCAUCAGCAGCACUACACUUGAAGGUACCAAAUAUCUCUGGUUUUUGGUUUGUUUGGUGUUUGCAGCUGUGGCGGUGGUAAUUUACUUCAAGUGUUUUAAAGCAAAGCAUCAUCCAGUUGAGACCAUGAAUCAUGGAACAGAGAAUGCUUCAUUCCAAAGGACAGAGAAUAACAAAGAUGGGGUCAUGCUUUUGGGAGUCAAAUCAGGAGGGGAGGAGAAUGCUGCAGCAAAAUAAGCAGGCAAGCGAAGUGACACAAGCCAAAAAUAUCAGAAGAUUCAAAAGAUGAAGACCGCACACUUCAGUGAUCUUCCUUUGGAAUGAAAUGAAAUGAAGUGACAUGGUUUACAUUUAAUAUAUAUGUAGAAAGUGUAUUGGCAAACUCAAUAAAUAUGAACAAUGACUACUGCGCAAAUGAUCAUUUUACUGUAUAUGUAUACAGCACUGCCAAGCCGCCACUGUUGGGCCCUUGAGCAAGGUCCUUAAGCCUCUCUGCUCCAGGGGCGCUGCAUCAUGGCUGACCCUGUGCUCUGACCCCAGCUUCCUGGGGUAUGCGAAGAAAAGAAUUUCACUGUGCUCUAAUGUAUAUGUGAUUAAUAAAGACUCAUUAUUGUGAGGCCUUUGCUGGAAAUAUACUUCUGUUAUUUUCUGUACAUAAAAAGUUUGAGACGUGCCAAUAUAUGUAAUACUUUUUAAAACAUAAUCAUUUGAUAUCAUUUAAUUGAACAGUUUUCAUUUGCAUAAAGGUAGAUGUUCCUCAAAUGUGUGUAAAGAUGGUGAGCAAGAACGCUUGAAAGCUGAAUUGAUUUUUUUUUUCUCAAUAUGGCAUAUUUUACUGUAAAAUUAUUGAAGCAAUUCAGAAAUAUGUCUAGAGAAAAACAUUAACGCAAAAUAACAUGUUAUUUUCAUCCCCACACUGUGGUGAAUAGUAAAUGGAUUCUCCUUUUAUCACUUUUUCCAGUUUUAUCAUAACUUUUAUUCACUGGAUUCACAACUAAUAGAGCCUACAGCGUGUAAGACAUCCUUUCAUUGCAACUUGUUUUAACUCUUACAAACUUUUUUUUUUCAAUUAGCAUUUUUACAAAGCAUUUGUAAAUAUUGACAUGUGGACAUUUUAGACACAUUAAGGUUGACACACCCAGAUAUUCUCAUGCUUCUGUUUUUAUAUUGGAAUUGUGUUCUUUAGAUUUGUGCACUGUUUUUUUUUCAUGUACUCUUAUCUCAUUGUAUUUUAAUAAAAGACUUUGUGCUCAAUGUGCCACAUGUUAAUCACAAAUUACUAUAAUAGUACUCAGGCCACAGAUACUAUAUGUAUAUAUAAGAAUUAUUCCUAAACUAUAGUAGCAGCAUUCAUACAACCUGUGCUGCGACCACAGGGGCAAACUGAGAACUGGUAACUCGAAUCCAAAUGUUAUGUCAAUAUUUACGUGGGCAAAAUUGCCCAUAUUCAGAGUCGGUUUACAUGCAUGCUUAAGUACAUUUUCUGGGAACCCGUUCAGAUUAUUAAAAUGACCUGUGUGUAGUUCAUGCCUCUGAGGUUGCC